GUGCAGAUGAUGUGACAACUUUCUAGAGUCCUAUGCUCCCUGAGGAUUGAAAAUCGAGCUUUUUAAAACUGAUGCACC
rnacentral:snoRNA from 1 species